rnacentral:rRNA from 1 species
GACGAACGCUGGCGGCGUGCUUAACACAUGCAAGUCGAACGGAAAGGCCUCUUUCGGGGGGUACUCGAGUGGCGAACGGGUGAGUAACACGUGAGUAACCUGCCCUUGACUUUGGGAUAACUUCAGGAAACUGGGGCUAAUACCGGAUAGGAGCUCCUGCUGCAUGGUGGGGGUUGGAAGGUUUCGGGGGUUGGGGAUGGACUCGCGGCUUAUCAGCUUGUUGGUGGGGUAGUGGCUUACCAAGGCUUUGACGGGUAGCCGGCCUGAGAGGGUGACCGGCCACAUUGGGACUGAGAUACGGCCCAGACUCCUACGGGAGGCAGCAGUGGGGAAUAUUGCACAAUGGGUGGAAGCCUGAUGCAGCAACGCCGUGUGCGGGAUGACGGCCUUCGGGUUGUAAACCGCUUUCGCUCAUGACGAAGCUUUGUGUGACGGUAGUGGGUAAAGAAGCACCGGCUAACUACGUG